GCCUCCCUCCGCCGCCAUCAGACUCUACGGAGGCAGCAGUGGGGAAUAGUUGCACAAUGGGCGAAAGGCCUAGAUGCAGCGACGCCGCGUGAGGGACGACGGCCUUCGGGUUGUAAACCUCUUUACAGCAGGGACGAAGCGAAAGUGAACUGUACCUGCCAGAGAAGCACCGGCUAACUACGUGCCAGCCGCCGCGGUAAUAC
rnacentral:rRNA from 1 species